CACAGAGGGUGCGAGCGUUAAUCGGAUUUACUGGGCGUAAAGGGCGCGUAGGCGGUUGUAUGAGUGUGAUGUGAAAGCCCCGGGCUCAACCUGGGAAGUGCAUCGCAAACGAUACGACUAGAGUAUAUGAGAGGGUGGCGGAAUUUCCGGUGUAGCGGUGAAAUGCGUAGAGAUCGGAAGGAACGUCAAUGGCGAAGGCAGCCACCUGGCAUAAUACUGACGCUGAGGCGCGAAAGCGUGGGGAGCGAACAGG
rnacentral:rRNA from 1 species